rnacentral:rRNA from 1 species
AUUGAACGCUGGCGGCAUGCUUUACACAUGCAAGUCGAACGGCAGCACAGGGAGCUUGCUCCCGGGUGGCGAGUGGCGCACGGGUGAGUAAUACAUCGGAACGUGUCCUGUUGUGGGGGAUAACUGCUCGAAAGGGUGGCUAAUACCGCAUGAGACCUGAGGGUGAAAGCGGGGGAUCGCAAGACCUCGCGCAAUUGGAGCGGCCGAUGCCCGAUUAGCUAGUUGGUGAGGUAAAGGCUCACCAAGGCGACGAUCGGUAGCUGGUCUGAGAGGACGACCAGCCACACUGGGACUGAGACACGGCCCAGACUCCUACGGGAGGCAGCAGUGGGGAAUUUUUGGGACAAUGGGGGCAACCCUGAUCCAGCCAUGCCGCGUGCAGGAUGAAGGCC